UAGUCCACGCCGUAAACGAUGUCAACUAGUUGUCGGAAGGAAUUGACCUUUCGGUGACGCAGCUAACGCAUUAAGUUGACCGCCUGGGGAGUACGCCGGCAACGGUAAAACUCAAAGGAAUUGACGGGGACCCGCACAAGCGGUGGAGCAUGUUGUUUAAUUCGACGCAACGCGAAGAACCUUACCUACACUUGACAUACUCGUCGGGACUUUCAGAGAUGAUUGUCUUCGGUUCGGCCGGACGAUGUACAGGUGCUGCACGGCUGUCGUCAGCUCGUGUCGUGAGAUGUUUGGUUAAGUCCAGCAACGAGCGCAACCCCUAUCGUAUGUUGCCAGCAUUCAGUUGGGCACUCAUGCGAGACUGCCGGUGUUAAGCCGGAGGAAGGUGGGGACGGACGUCAAGUCAUCAUGGCCCUUACGUGUAGGGCUACAAACGUGCUACAAUGGGAGUUACAGUGGGCAGCGACGUCGCGAGGCGAAGCUAAUCCCUAAAAGCUCUCUCAGUUCGG
rnacentral:rRNA from 1 species